rnacentral:lncRNA from 1 species
AUGCGCUUGCCCCCCGCCCCGGGGCUCCCCCCAAAGACCAGGCUGGGGAGAGAAAACUUCAGGCAGAAGCACAGCCCACCUCCUCUGAGCGCCCAAUGCCCAGCCUGGAAUGUGGCUGAGCGUCAGUCUCCUGCUGCCAGCCACGGCCAGCGCCCCCUGCUGCCCAUCCUGAGCGGUACACACUCAGAGAGCACGGAGGAGAGGGAGAAAGCAGGGAAUCCAGGCAUGAUGCUGACUUGGCCAGGAGGAUGGGAGAGGAGGCAGAGAGUUAUUGAGUACCUGCCAGCUGCCCAAUACAGGACAAAAGGAGGAGCUAGAGAUGAGUCACAUGCUUGGAAUCCAGCCAGGAUGGAACCAGGCAGGACCCUGUGAAGCCCUCCCAAGGACAAGAGCUUUUCCACGUCCCCCCCCUUUUUUUAAAUUUUUUUAUAUGUAAUUCAUUUUUAUUAUGGUUGAUUUACAAUGUUCUGACAAUUUCUGCUGUACAGCAAAGAGACCCCAUAUGUAUGUAUAAAUAUACAUUAAUUUAAAAAAAUUUCUGUCCUUUUUUCUUUUUUUCUUUUUUUUUGUCUUUUGAGGGUGGCAACCGUGGCAUAUGGAGGUUCCCAGGCCAGGGAUCUAAUUGGAGCUGCAGCUGCCAGCCUACGCCACAGCCACAGCAAUGCCAGAUCCGAGCUGCAUCUGUGACCUACACCACAGCUCACUGCAAUGCCUGAUCUUUAACCCACUGAACAAGGCCGGGGAUUAAACCUGCAACCUCAUGGUUCCUAGUCAGAUUUGUUUCUGCUCAGCCACAAUGGGAACUNCCCUGUUUUUUUUUUUUUUUUUUUUUUUUUUUUUGCUUUUUAGGGCUGCACCCACAGCAUAUGGAAGUUCCCAGGCUAGGUGGUGGUGUAGCUCCCAGUCUACGCCACAGCCACAGCAACACCUGAUCAGAGUUGCAUCUGCGGCCUACAGCACAGCGUGUGGCAAUGCCGGAUCCUUAACCCACUGCGUGGAGGCCAGGAAUCAAACCCAC